AAAAACAAAAAAAACAAGAAUCGCCGCCGAAGCUUCUCGACUCGUUCCCCACCGCGACGCCUCUCUCGCCCUAGCAAUGGAGCGAGCCGAGACGCGGAGAAGGAACGUCGCGCUCCCGCCGGGGCUUGGUUCCGUGCGCUUUGCCGUGCCGAGUGCCGCCGCCGCGGUGGUCCUCCUGAUUGGUGUCCCUCCUCCGCUCCUCGAGGUUUCGAAGCUUACGAGGGUGCCGUGUGGAAGGCAGCGGCCUCUCCGCCGAUAGAUGCCUCCCCGUGGGUCUGCGGGAAGACGGAGGCGACACGCCUACCGGUCUACACCUUCGCCGCUUCUCUCCCCACUUCGAGGCCCUAGCAAUCGUGCUUGGAGCCGCCGAUCCGGCGAGUGUGGAGGGGACUCCGCGCCGCUUCACCCGCCAACCCUAACGGGAAAGGCGGCGACCUCUCCGCCGCCGCCGCGCCUUCGGGGAGUCGAUGCGCAACGGGUGGAGCUUGGGCGCUGUGUGAGAUGCCUUCCACCGCUAGCACCGCCGCCUUGCCGUGAUGCCUCGAGGGAGGAACUGUGGAAAAAAUGUACAAUGCAUCAAUGGUAGCAAUUCAACUUGCUUGGACUGUUGCAGUGAGCAAGCAUCAUUUUGGUAUCUAAUAGCAACAAUACUCUUAUCAAUGAUAUAUUUUCAUUCCUGUUUACUUCUGUCACAAAAUGAUUUGUACACAUUGGUUUACAGUGAGUUCAAUGUGAAGGGCUAAAAUGAUCACGUCUGAUUUGAUGGAUGCUAUACAUGCCUUAGAUUUCCCAUCUUUGUUUUGUUCCUGUUGUUAUGAUUAAAGCAGUAGCAUGUUUAGUUAAAGCAGUAAAUGGGCGUUGGGCCCGAGAGGCGGGUGAAUGGAGGGAGUACUUAUAGGAUUGAAACACACUGAAAGAAUUAUCUGCAUGAAAUCCAGACAUCCACAUGCCCGUACCCUAUUGAUCUCCUUUUACCACUAUUCCACUAAUAACUUAUUUAGUUUGUUAUACUUUGUGGCUCGAUUUCAUGUCUAGCCCACUCCUAACUUGUUUGCGACUCAAAGGUUUUGCUGCCACUAUUGUGGCUUUAUUUCAUUGAGACUCAAAGCUGAUAUUUUUUUAAGCCAGCCUAAAGUAGGUCACUAAGGUCAGUGUUUAUUGUACCGUUGAUAUCAACUUUGUGAGGGUGGAGGUUGGUUUGGUGGGGCCGUGUGUCUGCUUGUACGCGUGCCCGGGUGCAGGUGCAUGUGUUGCCUAUCGCUCAUCCUAUGUUCUGGUGGAGCAUUUCUCGCCACGCUUUCAGUGAUAGUAAAUUUAAUAGGCAAAACUGUCGUACUUAAGCCCGCAAUGCUUGGCAUUUCUGAUUUUAGGGUUCUUUGAUUGUUCUGGUAGAGCCUUUCUUUCCAUGCUUUCGCAAGUUACAAUAAAUAGUAAUAUGCAAAACUGUCAAACCUAAGUGUAUGAAGAUAAUACUACCUCUUGCAUGAUCUUUUAGUUUGAUUUUGUCAACUUUAUUUUGUGUUUGACAUAGAAGUACUGCAUUGCUAAUUUGUUACUUGAGUUCUGAUAAAAUUGUUGCUUCAAUUAUCUUUCAUAAAAAUGUAAAUGUAAUAUGAAUCUGCUUAAAAUGCAAAACUUGUGUAUUAUAUUACUCUCAAAACUUACAAGAUUGCAUCAGCACAUGCCAAAUUGAGUUUUUGUUGUGUUAUCUAACCAAGUUUCCCUUUGUGGCCUAAACUCUACUAUCUGCAGUAGCAUAAACUGCAAGGUUAUUUAUGAAGUAAUUAGCUUUUCUGUUUGAUGUUUUCUUAUCACUAACAUCUUAGUUGGAAAUUUAGAAUAUUUCCUGUAAUCCUUUAAGUUUUAAGUAGUCCUCAACUCUAGAUUGUUGUUUUUCUUUAAAACAUAUGAUAUUGCAUGGGGCGUGGGGCUGUAUAAUAAUGUGCUGCUCAGUACUUUGUGAUGAACAUGGAAUCUAACCCCGGAAAGUUACUAGAACAUAUGAGAUGUUAGUUAGUUGUUAGAUGCAUAUACAUAGAUUAGUUUGUGGAUGAUACCCCAAGGAGCCACUACCAUUUACUACUUGUGUGGUCAGUGCGGGUGUUGUUUACAGAAGGUUGGAUUAUACCCAACAAGCAACAGCUGAUCUCUGCUGAUGCUUCCGAAUUGCAGGAGGUAUCUGGUAUCAAUGUAUCAUAAGCAAGGUUUUUUCCCCCGACCGGAACCGGUCCGAAAACUGUGGUUACCGGUGUAACCGGUCCGGACCGGCUUCAAACCGCCCAAAUUCAAAACUUUAAAUUCAAAAAAAUGAAAAAUUCCCAAAAAAAAUUCCUAAAAAUACUUUAAGUUGCGACGAAUCUAAUGGUGUCAAAAUUUUCAAAUAUUCGUUCAUUUAGUAUACUUUGCGGGCAUUUGAAGUUAAAUAAAAAAAAAGAAAAAAAGGGUGUACGAAUGGGAAGACCCCCAUACCUGACAUCAACAUGCAGCCACUGACGAGAUGGGUGUAUGAAUGGGAAGACCCCCAUUUUUACAUUAUGUUAGUUCAGGAAUGGGAGAUAACAUCGGCGUGGACAGGGCAAAGUUGGCAAGACUACAAGACUGAGCUGCUUAGAGUGCGAGGUUUGAAUGUGAUGUCCCAAAUGGCGUCCCAAAUGGGGGUCUUCUCGCUCGUACGUUGAACUUUUAUUGAUGUGUAUCAGUGAUUAUUGUAUUUGUAUGCACGAUUGUGACUAUGAUAUUUGUAUGCACGUUUAUUACUAUUGUAUUUAUAUACAUGAUUAUAAAUUGU